GCAGGCCCUAACAAUUGCAAGUUCGAGCGGUAGCACAGAGAGCUUGCUCUCGGGUGACGAGCGGCGGACGGGUGAGUAAUGUCUGGGAAACUGCCUGAUGGAGGGGGAUAACUACUGGAAACGGUAGCUAAUACCGCAUAAUGUCGCAAGACCAAAGUGGGGGACCUUCGGGCCUCAUGCCAUCAGAUGUGCCCAGAUGGGAUUAGCUAGUAGGUGGGGGAACGGCUCACCUACGCGACGAUCCCUAGCUGGUCUGAGAGGAUGACCAGCCACACUGGAACUGAGACACGGUCCAUACUCCUACGGGAGGCAGCAGUGGGGAAU
rnacentral:rRNA from 1 species